AACGUAGGACGCAAGCGUUAUCCGGAGUUACUGGGCGUAAAGCGCACGUAGGCGGACCUGCAAGUCGGGGGUGAAAGCCCGAGGCUCAACCUCGGAACUGCCUUCGAUACUGCGGGUCUCGAGUCCGGGAGAGGUGAGUGGAAUUCCUAGUGUAGAGGUGAAAUUCGUAGAUAUUAGGAAGAACACCAGUGGCGAAGGCGGCAUCCUGGACCGACAUUGACGCUGAGGAGCGAAAGCCAGGGGAGCAAACGGG
rnacentral:rRNA from 1 species